GGAAAAUCGUGUUGAGGCGGCGGCCACUGACGCGGGCGCGUAAAAUAAUCCCGUUCUGAUUAAGCGAUCAAGGAGCUGGAGAGAGGAGAAGCUGCCCUGUGGUUAAGCAGCAGCACUGGAGGCCAAAGGAUGACCGAAUCUGAUUCCAGUCUCUUCCACAGACUUCCUUCAUGAUUUCGAGCCGUCGCACCCCAGCUGUGAGCCGAGGAGGAUCCACUUCUUUUCCCUCAUCCGAGUCUGGAGCUCUUGUUGUGCUUGCAGGGCACCAGACGGGGUCUCAGUAUUAGAUGGAGCUUUGGGGCUCUGCCAUUAAAAAGUCA
rnacentral:lncRNA from 1 species